rnacentral:rRNA from 1 species
UAAGAGCACAUGGCGGAUGUCUUGGCGUCAAGAGGCGAUGAAGGACGUGGGAACCUGCGAAAAGUUCAGGGGAGCCGGUAACCAGGCUGUGAUCCUGAAAUGUCCGAAUGGGGAAACCCGGCCGUAAGGUCACUCUUACCUGAAUGCAUAGGGUAAGAGAGCGAACCUGGGGAACUGAAACAUCUAAGUACCCAGAGGAAAGGAAAUCAACCGAGACUCCGUGAGUAGCGGCGAGCGAAAGCGGAUUGCGACUUAAGUCAGUGAACGCGUUGGAAAGCGCGGCCAAAGAAGGUGAUAGCCCUGUAGUUGGAUGAUGUCGCUCAGCCCUAGAGUAGCGUCGGUGUCGUGAAACCCGGCGUGAACAUGGGGGGUCCACCCUCCAAGGCUAAGUACUACUUGACGACCGAUAGUUAACCAGUAAGGCGACUGAAUGAUGAAAACUACCCCUGCUAGGGGUGUGAAAGAGUAGCUGAAACCAUGUGCUUACACAGCGGUCAGAGCCCUUCGGGGUGAUGGCGUGCCUUUUGCAUAAUGACCCGGCGAGUUACUCUCAUUGGCGAGGUUAAGGCCUAGCGGGCCGAAGCCGAAGCGAAAGCGAGUCUGAAAUAGGCGUUGAGUCGAUGGGAGUAGACGCGAAACCUUGUGAUCUACCCAUGGGCAGGCUGAAGGCCGGGUAAAACCGGCUGGAGGGCCGAACGCACCAACGUUGAAAAGUUGGGCGAUGACCUGUGGGGAGGACUAAAAGUGUAAUCAAACUGGGAGAUAGCUCGUUCUCUCCGAAAUAUUUUUAGGAAUAGCCUCUUGCGGCAACUGUUGGGGGUAGAGCCACUGGAUACGGCUGGGGCCCUCGGGUACCCACUGUAACCAAACUCCGAAUACCAACAGCCAAGGCAAGGGAGUCAGCCCACGAGUGACAAUAUCCGUGGACAAAAGGGAAACAUCCCAGACCGCCAGCUAAGGUCCCUGAACAUUGCUUAGUUCUAAAGGAAGUCGAAGCGCAAAGACAGCCAGGAUGUUGGCUUAGAAGCAGCCACCAUUUAAAGAGUGCGUAAUAGCUCACUGGUCGAGGGUUUCGGCGCCGAUAAUGAUCGGGAAUAAGCAAUGUACCGAAGCUGCGGGCUGCGUAAGCAGCGGUAGGAGAGCGUUCCUGUCAGCAGAGAAGGCGUCCCGAAAGGGUCGCUGGAGCGUCAGGAAGUGAAUAUGCCGGGUUGAGUAACGAUAAAGCAGGUGAAAAUCCUGCUCGCCGAAAAUCUAAGGUUUCCUGGGGAAGGUAAAUCCGCCCAGGGUCAGCCGGGACCUAAGGUGAGGCCGAAAGGCGUAGCCGAUGGACGGCAGGUUAAUAUUCCUGCGCUACUGUGGAGAUCAAUCAUGAGUGCGGAUCGGUCAGCCCUGCGUAAGCACCAGCUUGCUGAGGCCCUUGAGGCCGCUGCAGGGGGCUCUGGUCCCGAGAAAAGCUCAUGUGGCAAAGCAGUACCCGUACCAAAACCGACACAGGUAGAUGAGGUGAAUAACCUAAGGCGCUCGAGAUAACGGAAGUGAAGGAAUUAGGCAAAUUGACCCCGUAAGUUCGCGAUAAGGGGGCCCUACCCCUCGGGGAGGGCGCAGAGAAAAGGCUCUGGCGACUGUUUAUCAAAAACACAGCACUGUGCUAACUCGCAAGAGGACGUAUACAGUGUGACGCCUGCCCAAUGCCGGAAUGUCACGGAAGCGGGUUAGCUUCGGCGAAGCUCGUAACCUAAGCACCGGUCAAUGGCGGCCGUAACUAUGACGGUCCUAAGGUAGCGAAGUUCCUUGUCGGGUAAGUUCCGACGCGCAUGAAUGGCGUAACGACUGGAGCACUGUCUCCACUUCCGACUCGGUGAAAUAGUAGUGGCGGUGAAGAUGCCGCCUACCCGCGACAAGACGGAAAGACCCCAUGAACCUUUACUAUAGGCUUUUAUUGCACAUGAGUUUGUAUUGCGUAGGAUAGGUGGGAGGCUUUGAAGCGGCCGUUCUGGCGGUCGUGGAGCCAUCCUUGAAAUACCACCCUUUACCUAUUCGUGUGCUAACCCCGAUUCCCGUGAAGCCGGGCGGGGGACAGUGAGUGCUGGGUAGUUUGACUGGGGCGGUCUCCUCCGAAAGAGUAACGGAGGAGCGCAAAGGUUGGUUCAGCGCGGAUGGAAACCGCGUGUUGAGUGUAAGAGCACAAGCCAGCUUUACUGCGAGAGCGACGGCUCGAGCAGUCUCGAAAGAGGGCUCUAGUGAUCCUGCGAUCCCGUGUGGAAGGGUCGUAGCUCAUCGGAUAAAAGGUACUCUGGGGAUAACAGGCUGAUCGCUCCCGAGCGUCCAUAGCGGCGGAGCGGUUUGGCACCUCGAUGUCGGCUCAUCGCAUCCUGGGGCUGAAGGCGGUCCCAAGGGUUAGGCUGUUCGCCUAUUAAAGCGGUACGCGAGCUGGGUUCAGACCGGCGUGAGCCAGGUCGGUCCCUAUCUGUCGUGGGCGCUGCACAUUUGAGAGGAGUCUUCCUUAGUACGAGAGGAUUAGGAAGGACGAACCCCUGGUGAUCCAGCUGUCGCGCUAGCGGCACCGCUGGGUAGCUAAGUUCGGCAGGGAUAACCGCUGAAAGCAUCUAA